AUACGUAGGGUGCGAGCGUUGUCCGGAAUUACUGGGCGUAAAGAGCUCGUAGGUGGUUUGUCGCGUCGUCUGUGAAAUUCCGGGGCUUGACUCCGGGCGUGCAGGCGAUACGGGCAUAACUUGAGUACUGUAGGGGAGACUGGAAUUCCUGGUGUAGCGGGGAAAUGCGCAGAUAUCAGGAGGAACACCGGUGGCGAAGGCGGGUCUCUGGGCAGUAACUGACGCUGAGGAGCGAAAGCAUGGGUAGCGAACAGGAUUAGAUACCCUGGUAGUCCAUGCCGUAAACGGUGGGCGCUAGGUGUAGGGGUCUUCCACGACUUCUGUGCCGUAGCUAACGCAUUAAGCGCCCCGCCUGGGGAGUACGGCCGCAAGGCUAAAACUCAAAUGAAUUGACGG
rnacentral:rRNA from 1 species